AGGCAGUGAGCUGAAGUACUGCAGUAAAAACCCGUCUAACAAGCUGCUGACAGCGCGCUGAAUCAGGGGCAGAAGCAAAGAAAACCGUGGAGAUGGAUUUAAGUAUGCCCCUCGUCAUUAGCCUCAACAUAAUCAAAUCAUUUUACUCAUUCAGAAGUUCUCGGGGGCCCGGGCUGGGAUGACGAACGCUGUCGAGAAGGCUUCACUCUCGCUCUGCCAGGAGAGCUGCUGCUGUCGCUGCUGUGCCGUGUGCUGCUGCUGCCAAACAAGAGCUCAAAAGUGAUUUCUUCCACAGUGUGCAGCACUUUGUCCUGAUUGUGUCCAAGGUCAGGAUGCUUUUCAUGCUGUUAUCUCCCCCUGGAGGUCAGUGGAGGAAGAACACAAUCAGUUCCCACUGUAUCCCCCAUUCAGGGUUUGUGGUACAAAGAAAUAAAGCUGGCCUUGUUCAGUUCAAUUAUCAUUGGACACUUGACAACAACAGACAGACUGAAGCAGACUGAUACGUUUUAAGAAGAUAUGUCACAGGAGUCCACCCUUUAUUCCCCAGUCUAAUGUACACGAACAUCCUCUACCUUCAAAUUGUGUGUGUGUAAAUGCAAAUAAGUGCAUAUUUAUGUAUAUAAUUUGUACCUAAUUUUAUAUCAAAAUAUAACAUAGAUAUUUAUAUGUGUGUUAAUUUGUGCCCAUAUGAAUGAUUAGAUAAAGGUUUUAUUAUUGUGUCAUACAUUGGCUUACGAGAAAAUGUAUUGCGUACAAAAAACCCAAAUAAUAAACCAAUUUAUACAAUUUU